UACGUAGGGUGCGAGCGUUAAUCGGAAUUACUGGGCGUAAAGCGUGCGCAGGCGGUUGGCAAAGUCAGCUGUGAAAGCCCCGGGCUUAACCUGGGAAUGGCGGUUGAAAAUGGUCGACUAGAAUCUGGCAGAGGGGGGUGGAAUUCCACGUGUAGCAGUGAAAUGCGUAGAGAUGUGGAGGAACACCGAUGGCGAAGGCAGCCCCCUGGGCUGAGAUUGACGCUCAGGCACGAAAGCGUGGGGAGCAAACAGG
rnacentral:rRNA from 1 species